rnacentral:lncRNA from 1 species
GUCAAGAUUGAUUUUUCUUCGGUCAUGUGGUGGUGUUCUUCGGUGAGAUUUGAUUUUGACUUGGUCAAUUUGCACUUUGACUCGAUCAAGUUACAUGGGAGCUUUAUCUCGAUUAUGUUCAGUCAUUGGCAGCUUUAAUAGUAUUCACUUAUAAAUGAUAAUAUGUGCAUAUAAAUUUACUAUCAAACCUCUUAAUCAACCAUGGAAUAUACCUGCACCCUUGCACACCCC